AUACCGAUUAUCUUUUUAAGUGAUGUAUCUUUUAUUUAAAGACAAAUAUUUAUUUGGGCCUAGAGGGUGGGCAGAAACAUGAUCCCAGAAUAGAGUGGCUAUAUUAGUAUAAAUAUCAUUUAUAGGCAUUAUAGUAGGUUUUGGGAAGUCUUUCAUUUGCCAAAGAAAUGGUCCCCUUUGCACUUUUGUUCUCUAGACGGAGUGAGAGAACUGUUUUUGGUUGGCUUCGAUAUAGUUCGAAUGCUACGACUCAUGUAGAGGGAAAGAGUGCCAUUUCUCAGCCUUUAAACUACCCUAGUUGGAGUCAGCCGAAGCAUUGCAAUAUGGUCUACAAUGCGAGUAAUUAUACCGAUUAUCUUUUUAAGUGAUGUAUCUUUUAUUUAAAGACAAAUAUUUAUUUGGGCCUAGAGGGUGGGCAGAAACAUGAUCCCAGAAUAGAGUGGCUAUAUUAGUAUAAAUAUCAUUUAUAGGCAUUAUAGUAGGUUUUGGGAAGUCUUUCAUUUGCCAAAGAAAUGGUCCCCUUUGCACUUUUGUUCUCUAGACGGAGUGAGAGAACUGUUUUUGGUUGGCUUCGAUAUAGUUCGAAUGCUACGACUCAUGUAGAGGGAAAGAGUGCCAUUUCUCAGCCUUUAAACUACCCUAGUUGGAGUCAGCCGAAGCAUUGCAAUA